rnacentral:rRNA from 1 species
UAAUGCGUGACCAACCUGCCCAUGCUCCAGAAUAGCUCUUGGAAACGGGUGGUAAUGCUGGAUGACUCCAACUUGACGCAUGUCUUGUUGGGAAAGUGUUUAGUGGCAUGGGAUGGGGUCGCGUCCUAUCAGCUUGUAGGCGGGGUAAUGGCCCACCUAGGCUUCGACGGGUAGCCGGCCUGAGAGGGCGGACGGCCACAUUGGGACUGAGAUACGGCCCAGACUCCUACGGGAGGCAGCAGCG